GCCAGUGUGGUGUUGCGGUUUGAGUGUUGGACUAUGACUCUGGAGACCAAGGUUCAAUUCCCAGCUCAGUCA